GACGAACGCUGGCGGCGUGCUUAACACAUGCAAGUCGAACGGAAAGGCCCUGCUUUUGUGGGGUGCUCGAGUGGCGAACGGGUGAGUAACACGUGAGUAACCUGCCCUUGACUUUGGGAUAACUUCAGGAAACUGGGGCUAAUACCGGAUAGGAGCUCCUGCUGCAUGGUGGGGGUUGGAAAGUUUCGGCGGUUGGGGAUGGACUCGCGGCUUAUCAGCUUGUUGGUGGGGUAGUGGCUUACCAAGGCUUUGACGGGUAGCCGGCCUGGGAGGGUGACCGGCCACAUUGGGACUGGGGUACGGGCCAGACUCCUACGGGAGGCAGCGGUGGGGAAUAGUGCGCAAUGGGCGGAAGCCUGAUGCAGCAACGCCGCGUGCGGGAUGACGGCCUUCGGGUUGUAAACCGCUUUCGCCUGUGACGAAGCGUGAGUGACGGUAAUGGGUAAAGAAGCACCGGCUAACUACGUG
rnacentral:rRNA from 1 species